UGCGCGUUGUUGUUUUUUUUCACCAUCAUUAUUAUUUUUUUUUUGCUGAAGGUAAACAAAUGGACUCAGCGGCGGUCUGUGGUAAAAACAUGAAAAAUGUGAACGAACCACGCAGAUUAAAGCGAGUAAAAUGCCAGGACAGAAGAGAAGAUAUAAUGUACGGUUCCCUCCCAGCCGCAUCAAAAAGAUCAUGCAGAAAGACGCGGAGGUGGGGAGGAUGGCAAUGGCGGUCCCUGUGAUCAUCUCUCAAGCGCUGGAAAUGUUCCUGAAGUCUCUGCUGACCAAAAUCUGUCUGAUAACUCAGUCAGAGCUCAGCACCGUUGUGUCUGUUGCUCACAUGAAGCAGUGUAUAGAGUCGGAGAAGCUUUUCCACUUCCUCAGGGACUUGGCGGAUCGGGCCACGUCUACGGCAGGCCAGAAGGACAACAGAGGCAUGUUGAGUAUGUGGCCGUUGUACAGGACCAAACGGCGUGAAAUUUCUGUUAAAAAAUCGUCUGAAGUGGUAGAAAAGGCACCAAGACGGAGCCUCGACUCACUGGACAACGACUCCUGCUCCAGUAACCAGGUUGUAUAUUAAAAAGGUUAGAUGCUCUUUGCUCAAUGGCACUUUGGCAGGAAAUGGUACAACAUGUGUUGGUGAUUGAACUCUCAACCAACAAGGAUAAAAGUCUACAAGUUACAUCAGCACCCCCAUGAGGCCAUGAUGUACAUUACACUCCAGAAAACAAAGACAACUCUUCUUAAUUCUCUUCAUUCUCACCUGAACUGGGGUUGAAAACAAACAUCGGUGGAAUGUAACUAAGAGUCGGAGCUCUACAUCUGCCUUUGAUCGAACAACCAGAGGAAAGUUCUGUGAACUUACAGCGACAUGUCAUUGUCACUUUUGUUUUUGUUUGUUUAAGCUUUGCCAGUCCAGGUCAACAUUAAUGUGGGAAUAUUAACUAUGAAAAAAAGGUUUUGAUUCUGUUUGGGGGAAAACAUUUAAGUUACAUAAUAUUUUAGACCUUUGGCUGCUAAUAUUGUUUUUGUUUGUUUCAUUUUGGAAAAAAUGUUCUGAAAGUCUUUCCCUUUUCUUGUUUGUAGAAGAUAUGUGUGAACUUAAAUUUGCACUAAAGUAUAAUGAGCUUAAAUUGUUUAAUUUAAAUUCCUUCAGACUUUUAAUUUUUUUUUGUUAAGGCAUUUUGCUUUAAACCUUUAUUAGUUGAACAGACAAUAUGAUGUUAUGCUCUGGUCAAUUUAUGAUACAAUUUCACUGGUGAGAUAAUACUUCUAUGGUUUUCCAUAACAUUUUAUGCACCAGCCCUUAAAACUAAAAUAAGUGCUUAUUUUGUGGAAUAGUGGCCUCUGUGGUUUCUGUUUUUUAAAGCACUUGUAAAUUAAUGUUUUAAAGACAUCUGCAUGUAAAAUCAAAUUGUAAAUAAACAAGUUCAUUUCAA